GCCACCGGACACCAUGCCUCCCAAGAAAGACGUUCCUGUGAAGAAACCCGCAGGGCCCUCCAUCGCCAAGCCUGCUCCCAAGCCAGCUGCAGGGACUCCUCCAGCCAAGACCAAGGCUGAGCCAGCUGUCCCUCAGGCCACUGUGAAAACUCAGGAGCCCCCUGUCGAUCUCUCCAAAGUGGUGAUCGAGUUUAACAAGGACCAGCUGGAGGAGUUCAAGGAGGCCUUUGAGCUGUUUGACCGAGUAGGUGAUGGCAAGAUCCUGUACAGCCAGUGUGGGGACGUGAUGAGGGCCUUGGGCCAGAACCCCACCAAUGCUGAGGUGCUCAAGGUCCUGGGGAACCCUAAGAGUGACGAGUUGAAGUCUCGACGUGUGGACUUUGAGACCUUCCUGCCCAUGCUCCAGGCAGUGGCCAAGAACCGGGAUCAAGGCACAUACGAGGACUACUUGGAGGGGCUUCGGGUGUUUGACAAAGAGGGAAAUGGCAAAGUCAUGGGUGCAGAGCUCAGACAUGUUCUUACCACCCUCGGAGAAAAGAUGACUGAGGACGAAGUGGAGACUGUUUUGGCAGGACACGAGGAUAGCAACGGCUGCAUCAACUAUGAGGCUUUCCUGAAGCACAUCUUAAGUGUCUGAGCUCCACACAUGGGCCCGCCAGACCCCACCUCGUCCUGAGAGGUCUUGUGGGGCAGUCUCUCGCUCCCCUCCCCCGCAGGCAGAAGCACUUUCCUGCCACUAGAAGGCCACAUACUGCUUCAAAAUAAAGACAUGGUUUCUUCCUUGGUUUCUAGACUGUUGUUUACUUCAUAAAGGGAAGGAGGAAAGGGAGGGACUUAAGAGGGAACAUCUUAAGUUCAUAACCGCUGAUUUCUGGGCGGUCAAAGGAACCCUUCGCGGCGCCCCACCCUACGCAGGUUUGCGGUUUCCACGCCCAGGUGCGGCCGCCCAGGAGAAAGGACCACAGUGGGCCCCGCCCACCUCAUUACUAGUGUAGCAAUUCAACUGCAGGAGCUCUGCUCGGGUGCUCAUUGGCUGGGUCCGCGGAGGGUGACGUCAUCGGGACGUACUAAGACUAGGGCUGGGCUAGGAGUCGGAGCCAUUACUGCAGGUCCCGCAGAGCUCGGCAGUUAAGAUGGUGGGUUCCGCUCUUGGCAGAUAAGGGGUUUAGGGGCGAGGAGGGGAGUCACGGUGUGACUUCACCGAGGACCAGACCGCAGGUGAAAAGAUGACAGAGGAAGAAGUGGAGAUGCUGGUGGCAGGGCAUGAGGACAGCAAUGGUUGUAUCAACUAUGAAGAGCUUGUCCGGAUGGUGCUGAAUGGCUGAGGACAUUCCCAGUAAACCCAGAGCCUGUGCCUUGCCCUCUGUGAGAUUUGUAUGUGGCCCCAGAGGCUUCGUAGGUUCACUUGUCACAGCACCUUUCCUAUCUGGUUUCUUGGAUGAUGUUUGCCAUCAGCAUUCACCAAAUAAACUUGCUGUCUUUGCCCCCA